GACGAACGCUGGCGGCGUGCCUAAUACAUGCAAGUAGAACGCUGAGGGAGGAGCUUGCUUCUCUGGAUGAGUUGCGAACGGGUGAGUAACGCGUAGGUAACCUGCCAGGUAGCGGGGGAUAACUAUUGGAAACGAUAGCUAAUACCGCAUAAUAGUAGAUGUUGCAUGACAUUUGCUUAAAAGGUGCAAUUGCAUCACUACCAGAUGGACCUGCGUUGUAUUAGCUAGUUGGUGAGGUAACGGCUCACCAAGGCGACGAUACAUAGCCGACCUGAGAGGGUGAUCGGCCACACUGGGACUGAGACACGGCCCAGACUCCUACGGGAGGCAGCAGUAGGGAAUCUUCGGCAAUGGACGGAAGUCUGACCGAGCAACGCCGCGUGAGUGAAGAAGGUUUUCGGAUCGUAAAGCUCUGUUGUAAGAGAAGAACGAGUGUGAGAGUGGAAAGUUCACACUGUGACGUAUCUACCAGAAAGGACCGCA
rnacentral:rRNA from 1 species